UUAAUUCUCCUAAGAAGAUGCAAGGUCUCCAGCCAAAUUAGGCUCAACUUUAGAAGCAGUCUUUGGAAUAUCAACAGUUGUGAUAGUUGAAACUACUAUGAUAUCACUUGUCGAAAGAAGAUCCGUUAGGGUAUUUACAGUCUCAAGCACAAGUGGACCAUCACCAACCUGAUUGGCACCUUGGUCAAACUCAGCCGCUAAGGGAGCCAACAUCCCUUGGGGAGUAGGGGGAUGAACUUUGGGGAGAGCACAAUCGUCGGGGCCAUAUUGCACUUCAUCACCAUCAGAGUCAUACUUUAUUGCACGAAGAGUGCUGAGCAAGAUAGCAGGAGACUCUCGAGCACUUCGAAGGCCAUCAUUAAAUCCCGUCGCAUAAAAGCGAGUUGGCUAUUUAAAAACUUUGCCUUUGAAUUCUUC
rnacentral:lncRNA from 1 species